rnacentral:rRNA from 1 species
AAUGAACGCUGGUGGCAGACCUAACACAUGCAAGUCGAACGGUCUAUAUUAAACUUCGGUUUUUAUAGAUAGUGGCAAACGGGUGAGUAAAGCAUGGGAAUCUACCGUAGAAGUUUGGAAUAGCUAUUAGAAAUGAUAGAUAAUACCAAAUACACCUCGAGUAGGGAAAGUUGAACUUCGGUCUUCGCUUUUAGAUUGAGCCCUAUGUUAAAUUAGUUAGUUGGUAGGGUAAUGGCCUACCAAGAUGAUGAUUUAUAGCUGGUCUUAGAGGAUGAUCAGCCACACUGGAAUUGAGAUACGGUCCAGACUCCUACGGGAGCAGCAGUGGGAAUAUUGGACAAUGGGUCGCAAAGCCUGAUCCAGUCAUGCCACGUGAGUGAUGAAGGUCUUAGGAUUUGUAAAACUCUUUUAAGCUAGGGAAAAAAUGAUGGU